UUUUGUAAACAGAAUCACACCAUGCUCCUCUAUGACCUCAGGCAAAAGGAAGCAGGAUUCUGGCAACCCCAAUAUCAAAACCCCUCAAAUGUCCUCAGUACUCUGAGUCCUACCUAAUUUUUCUAUGCUAAUGUUGCAGGCUGACCUUUACAUGAAUAGACAGGUGGGAAAAUACAUGUAUCCUGUCAGCUCCCUGAUGACUUCCUCAUCUAAAUAGACUCUUCUGUGCCAGCUGUGCCACCAGAAAUUCCCCCUUUUAUGCUGAACCAAUUUGCAUUUAAACAAGUUUUAAUGAGACUACCUGGCAGAUUCAGCUGCUUUGCCAGAGAUGGAUUGCUACUGAAUUCUUCAAAUAGAUCCUGGAUUCAUCAGUCAAUGAGCCAAAGUCCAUGGAAGUCAAUGAAAAGAAAACCUCUUGAUUUUAGUGAGCUCUGUUUCAAGGUUGUGUGAGAAGCGUGGGCAUUACUAGUGGAAAUGAGAGUUUGAACUUACUGAGCUAUACUAAUGUACAGAGGUAAAACUUCACUUUGGUUUGUUUGUUUUUUUUUUUUCACAUUUUGGGAAGCCAAUAAAUUUGCCAAAUAAUGUUGAACUAGCAGCA